rnacentral:ncRNA from 1 species
GAAAGCCGGAUGCCCGGAAACGGGCACGUCCGGUUUGGGAGGGCGGCCCGGGGAAACGGACCGAUCGAAAGAUCGACACCGCGCCCCGGGCCGACCCCAC